AGCGAACGCUGGCGGCAGGCUUAACACAUGCAAGUCGAGCGGGCACUUCGGUGUCAGCGGCAGACGGGUGAGUAACACGUGGGAACGUACCCUUCGGUUCGGAAUAACGCUGGGAAACUAGCGCUAAUACCGGAUACGCCCUUUUGGGGAAAGGUUUACUGCCGCAGGAUCGGCCCGCGUCUGAUUAGCUAGUUGGUGGGGUAAUGGCCUACCAAGGCGACGAUCAGUAGCUGGUCUGAGAGGAUGAUCAGCAACACUGGGACUGAGACACGGCCCAGACUCCUACGGGAGGCAGCAGUGGGGAAUAUUGGACAAUGGGCGCAAGCCUGAUCCAGCCAUGCCGCGUGAGUGAUGAAGGCCUUAGGGUUGUAAAGCUCUUUUGUCCGGGACGAUAAUGACGGUACCGGAAGAAUAAGCCCCGGCUAACUUCGUG
rnacentral:rRNA from 1 species